rnacentral:rRNA from 1 species
GACGAACGCUGGCGGCGUGCUUAACACAUGCAAGUCGAACGGAAAGGCCCUGCUUUUGUGGGGUGCUCGAGUGGCGAACGGGUGAGUAACACGUGAGUAACCUGCCCUUGACUUUGGGAUAACUUCAGGAAACUGGGGCUAAUACCGGAUAGGAGCUCCUGCUGCAUGGUGGGGGUUGGAAAGUUUCGGCGGUUGGGGAUGGACUCGCGGCUUAUCAGCUUAUUGGUGGGGUAGUGGCUUACCAAGGCUUUGACGGGUAGCCGGCCUGAGAGGGUGACCGGCCACAUUGGGACUGAGAUACGGCCCAGACUCCAACGGGCGGCAGCAGUGGGGAAUAUUGCACAAUGGGCGGAAGCCUGAUGCAGCAACGCCGCGUGCGGGAUGACGGCCUUCGGGUUGUAAACCGCUUUCGCCUGUGACGAAGCGUGAGUGGCGGUAAUGGGUAAAGAAGCACCGGCUAACUACGUG